AGGGGUGGCUCGGAUUUUCUCAGUCCAACAUAUAUAGGGUGUUUAUGAGUAGAAUUUAUUCUAUCACGUACAUCAUGUAUACGAUCGGAUAUGGUAUACUCACUAGGAUAGUAAGUGGAUACUUAAAAGAUCCGAGUGAGAAUCACUAAAAGGUCAUCCUUAAGUAUUUGAGAAAUACUAAGAAUCGGUGACUCGAUUAUGAAAAAUCUGACUCAAAACUUACGGAGUAUG
rnacentral:lncRNA from 1 species